UGCAAAAGAAAAAUAGUGAGAGAAAGGGGUAGAGAGAACCUAGAGAGAGGAGAAGGGAUGAACGGCCGGAAGACUCACCGAAAACUACCGUCGGAGUCUAUUCCGGUGAAGAUCAUGAUGCAAGGAGGUGAGAUCAUGAUGCAGGGAGACUUUCUUGGAAGGGAAAAGAGAAUGUGGGUGGCCGGAGUCCCAUUUUUCAUCAAGAAAUCGGAAAACCCGCAAGGAACAACUCUACGCAUGUUCUGUGAAGAAGUUUGACCGAGAUCUCAACCUGAAGGCGGAGAUCCGAGAGUCGUCCGAGAACGGGACCUAAUUAAAGAAAUCAGUAUUUUUAGACACCUCACGGGCAAAGAAACGCUAGAAAAGGGCACGCGACAACCAGGUAAGUCACCACCCGGUAUUUAGGAAGAAAUUUGUAGGAUUCGCUUGGAUUGCAUGCAUGCUAGUAGUUU